UACUACAUUAUAUUGGGAGAGUUAUGUACUACAGAAUAUAUACUACAUUAUAUUGGGAGAGGUAUGUACUACAGAAUAUAUACUACAUUAUAUUGGGAGAGGUAUGUACUACAGAAUAUAUACUACAUUAUAUUGGGAGAGGUAUGUACUACAGAAUAUAUACUACAUUAUAUUGGGAGAGGUAUGUACUACAGAAUAUAUACUACAUUAUAUUGGGAGAGGUAUGUACUACAGAAUAUAUACUACAUUAUAUUGGGAGAGGUAUGUACUACAGAAUAUAUACUACAUUAUAUUGGGAGAGGUAUGUACUACAGAAUAUAUACUACAUUAUAUUGGGAGAGGUAUGUACUACAGAAUAUAUACUACAUUAUAUUGGGAGAGGUAUGUACUACAGAAUAUAUACUACAUUAUAUUGGGAGAGGUAUGUACUACAGAAUAUAUACUACAUUAUAUUGGGAGAGGUAUGUACUACAGAAUAUAUACUACAUUAUAUUGGGAGAGGUAUGUACUACAGAAUAUAUACUACAUUAUAUUGGGAGAGGUAUGUACUACAGAAUAUAUACUACAUUAUAUUGGGAGAGGUAUGUACUACAGAAUAUAUACUACAUUAUAUUGGGAGAGGUAUGUACUACAGAAUAUAUACUACAUUAUAUUGGGAGAGGUAUGUACUACAGAAUAUAUACUACAUUAUAUUGGGAGAGGUACACUACUGUUCAAAAGAUAUUCCAUAAAAAAUCAGCCGUUUCCAGUUACAAUAGUCAUUUACAACAUUAACAAUGUCUACACUGUAUUUCUGAUCAAUUCGAUGUUCUUUUAAUGGGACAAAAAAUGUGCUUUUCUUUCAAAAACAAGACCAUUUCUAAGUGACAUUUCUAAGUGACCCCAGACUUUUCAACGGUAGUGUAAAUAAAAGUUUUAUUUUCAUGUGUUUUUGUAAGUGCCAUCUUACAUAAUGCAGUUUUAAGCACAAAAUAUACUUAUGUUUUUAAAAGAAUUAGGAAAUGCUUGUUCUGUUUGUGGUUCAAUGUUUGCAUGCUAUGUGGUUGCAGGUAUCGGACUUCAAUUGUACUUACACCAUUUGUACCUGUAUUAUUAAAUUCAAACUGGAAGGAA